rnacentral:rRNA from 1 species
CAGUAGCCGCGGUAAUACGGAGGGUGCAAGCGUUAAUCGGAAUUACUGGGCGUAAAGCGCACGCAGGCGGUUUGUUAAGUCAGAUGUGAAAUCCCCGAGCUUAACUUGGGAACUGCAUUUGAAACUGGCAAGCUAGAGUCUUGUAGAGGGGGGUAGAAUUCCAGGUGUAGCGGUGAAAUGCGUAGAGAUCUGGAGGAAUACCGGUGGCGAAGGCGGCCCCCUGGACAAAGACUGACGCUCAGGUGCGAAAGCGUGGGGAGCAAACAGGAUUAGAUACCCCUGUAGUCCCUGUCUCUUAUAC